rnacentral:piRNA from 1 species
UGGGAAGACUUGGAAUGACAACCUCUGG